rnacentral:rRNA from 1 species
CCGUAACUAUAACGGUCCUAAGGUAGCGAAAUUCCUUGUCGGGUAAGUUCCGACCUGCACGAAUGGCGUAAUGAUGGCCAGGCUGUCUCCACCCGAGACUCAGUGAAAUUGAACUCGCUGUGAAGAUGCAGUGUACCCGCGGCAAGACGGAAAGACCCCGUGAACCUUUACUAUAGCUUGACACUGAACAUUGAGCCUUGAUGUGUAGGAUAGGUGGGAGGCUUUGAAGCGUGGACGCCAGUCUGCGUGGAGCCAACCUUGAAAUACCACCCUUUAAUGUUUGAUGUUCUAACGUUGGCCCGUAAUCCGGGUUGCGGACAGUGUCUGGUGGGUAGUUUGACUGGGGCGGUCUCCUCCCAAAGAGUAACGGAGGAGCACGAAGGUUAGCUAAUCCUGGUCGGACAUCAGGAGGUUAGUGCAAUGGCAUAAGCUAGCUUGACUGCGAGCGUGACGGCGCGAGCAGGUGCGAAAGCAGGUCAUAGUGAUCCGGUGGUUCUGAAUGGAAGGGCCAUCGCUCAACGGAUAAAAGGUACUCCGGGGAUAACAGGCUGAUACCGCCCAAGAGUUCAUAUCGACGGCGGUGUUUGGCACCUCGAUGUCGGCUCAUCACAUCCUGGGGCUGAAGUAGGUCCCAAGGGUAUGGCUGUUCGCCAUUUAAAGUGGUACGCGAGCUGGGUUUAGAACGUCGUGAGACAGUUCGGUCCCUAUCUGCCGUGGGCGCUGGAGAAUUGAGGGGGGCUGCUCCUAGUACGAGAGGACCGGAGUGGACGCAUCACUGGUGUUCGGGUUGUCAUGCCAAUGGCACUGCCCGGUAGCUAAAUGCGGAAGAGAUAAGUGCUGAAAGCAUCUAAGCACGAAACUUGCCCCGAGAUGAGUUCUCCCUGAGACUUUAAGUCUCCUGAAGGAACGUUGAAGACGACGACGUUGAUAGGUCGGGUGUGUAAGCGCAGCGAUGCGUUGAGCUAACCGAUACUAAUGAACCGUGAGGCUUAACCUU